rnacentral:rRNA from 1 species
ACGGAGGGUGCAAGCGUUAUCCGGAUUCACUGGGUUUAAAGGGUGCGUAGGCGGGCAGGUAAGUCAGAGGUGAAAUCUCCGAGCUUAACUCGGAAACUGCCUUUGAUACUAUCUGUCUUGAAUAUGGUGGAGGUAAGCGGAAUAUGUCAUGUAGCGGUGAAAUGCUUAGAUAUGACAUAGAACACCGAUUGCGAAGGCAGCUCACUACACAAAUAUUGACGCUGAGGCACGAAAGCGUGGGGAUCAAACAGGA